rnacentral:rRNA from 1 species
UACGUAGGGGGCAAGCGUUGUCCGGAAUCAUUGGGCGUAAAGAGCGUGUAGGCGGCCCGGUAAGUCCGCUGUAAAAGUCAAAGGCUCAACCUUUGAAUGUCAGUGGAUACUGCCGGGCUAGAGUCCGGAAGAGGCGAGUGGAACUCCUGGUGUAGCGGUGGAAUGCGCAGAUAUCAGGAAGAACACCAACGGGCGAAGGCAGCUCGCUAGGACGGUACUGACGCUGAGACGCGAAAGCGUGGGGAGCGAACAGG